GACAGAGGCCCCGAGCGUUAGUCGGAAUUACUGGGCUUAAAGGGUGCGUAGGCGGGCGUGUAAGUGCUUUGUGAAAGCCCUGGGCUCAACCCAGGAACCCGCAGGGCAUACUGCACGUCUCGAAGGAGCUAGAGGCCGGUGGAACGAUCGGUGGAGCGGUGGAAUGCGUAGAGAUCGAUCGGAACGCCAAGGGUGAAGACAACCGGCUGGGGCUCUCUUGACGCUGAGGCACGAAAGCGUGGGGGAUCAAACGG
rnacentral:rRNA from 1 species